UCUCUCUCUCUCUCUCUCAUGAUAGCUCUCUCUCUCUCGCCUGCUCUCUCUCGGUUCUUGGCUGAAAUCCUAGAAAUUAGUUGGAGAAAAAUAAAAUUCAUGCAAGAGGUUUAGAGGAGUGGAGGUAUAUGAAACAAAUUUGAGGUUGUAAUUGGAAAUCCCCAAUUCAAAAUAUCGACAAAAAUAGGGUUGUGUGAACGAGGGGUUAUAAAGAUCAGAUCACAUCGUUUGAAAGCUUGGGAAGUCAGCUUUCUAGUGGUGGUGGCCUACGGCGGUGGUUGCAUCAGAUGGUCGCCGGAAUCGGGCGAAGAAGACGGCUAGCUGUCCAGAAAUCGAAUUUCAGCCUUUGGCUCUUUAAAGAGUUAAUUGAACGGAGGCCUUAGAGGAAGAAUCUCGACAAUCAGGAACCACGGUUAGAAACCUUGAGAAGUAAGACUUCCAUAGGUGCAUGUUCUCGGUUGUAUUCAUCGGUGGUGGUCGCCGGAAUUUGGCGAAAAUCCUAGCUGCUCACCGGAACUUUAGGGAAAGAAAACCUGCUGCCGCACCUGUUUUCAGAGCAGAAUUUGGAGGGUUUGGAGUGCGAAUUUGGGAAUCAUUCCUUGACGAAACUCAUAGAGGAACGUGAGAAUUAUAAGUAAGUGUUAAAUUGCUUCUAAUUCGAGCAAGUUUUAUAGACUUUUAGAGAUGAGAAUUAGACGGUAGUGAGUCUGUCAAAAACAGGGCAGUUUUGAGUAUUCUUCUUACGGGGCCGUUUUUGCUAUGUUGAGCUAAUAAUUUGGGUUGUGUUUCUUCUGAGAAUUUGUAGAUUAAAUUGUCAGUUUUUAUUUGGUGCAUUAUUUGGUCAAUUUGGACAACAAUAAAAAUUGUUAUGAUUUUUCCAAAUACAUUGUGCCAGCAAAUGCAGUUGUUUUAAAACCUGACAGUUUCGUGCAAUCAUCUUCCGGGGCUGUUAUUUCUGUGUUAGGCUGAUAAUUUGGGCUCAGGGUAUUCAGUAAACCUGUAGAUACAAAUGUUAUCUUUAAUUCAAUAUAUCGUUUAGAUUAUUCGGAUAAGGAAGGUGAUCGUAACGAUUGUUCAAAUAAGUUGUGGCAACAAGACAUUCGUAAUAAAUGUUUCAAGAAAUUGACUAUGUGAUAUAGUGGAAUAAUACGGUUAUAUUAGCAUUUGGAAUCUUGUUAAGUGAUGAAUAUUUUUAUAGGUAUCGACCGUACUAAAGCUCUCAUUCAAGACUUGAGCAUGACUCGAGAUGUCAGGUGCAUUAGUGGACAAUUAUGUUGAAAGCUCUUAGAAGUAAAAGUUAUUCAGAGAUUUUAGAGAGUUUAAUCUAGUGUUGUAUAUAAGAAUGAUUGUAAAUCAAGAACUAUGUAUACAAGAUUAGUUGUGAGCUUUGGUUUCCACUUGUAUUUGAUUUUAUUGUUGAGAAAUUAAGUGAGAGACAUUGUAUUUAUCGGAAGUCAUUGUAUUUAAUUAUUGUA